rnacentral:tRNA from 1 species
CAAAAUGUAGCUUAACCCAAAGCACCUUGCUUACACUAAGAAGAUAUCUGCUAAACCCAGAUCAUUUUGA